GGCGCCCGCCACCACAUCCAGCUAAUUUUGUAUUUUUAGUAGAGACUGGGUUUCACCAUGUUGGUCAGGCUGGUCUCGAACUCCUGACCUUGUGAUCCGCCUGCUUCGGCCUCCCAAAGUGCUGGGAUUACAGGUGUGAGCCACCGUGCCUGGCCAGAGGAAACAAUUUCUUAAUGGAAAGAAUUUGUUAUUAGUUUAGGCCACAAGCCUGAAUCUUUGAAACAGCAUGACUCAGAUAGUUCAUCACUCAGAGAAUUAAGGUUUUGCAUCCCUCGGUUCUGAGUGAGGUUUUCUUCCUCUUUUGAGAAGAGCAGCAUUAAAUUACCAGAGCCAUCUCAUCGGUCAUUCAUUUAGUAUUUACCACACCUACUAUGUGCAAAAGGCAGUGGGAAGUAGAAAGAUUAGAAAGAAAAACUCCUGCCAUCCAAGGGGUUAACAGCUUACAGAUCUUAGAACCACACAACUUAGAAAAAAAAGUUUAAGAUUAUAUAGAGAAUCCAAGUGCUUUAUUUCACAGAUGAAGACAUAAGACCCUGAACUAUUCUAUAACUCCUGUGGUAAACUACAGAGGCAAUUCCCAAACCCAGGUCUGCUGACUCAAAGAAGGACUGUGCCUUUCCAUUCUGUUCCUAACAGCUAAGAAACUCCUGCAUCCCCAGAUCCCAGAGGCUUAUAUGGUCUGGAAAGCUGGUGUCGUGGUCAUCAGUCAAAAGCACUCACUGCAUACGUACACCAUGGCCAGCACACACCUGGAGGUUUGGACACACACAUUCACACACUUACAUAAUCCUCACAAUAAGUGUUUGAGGCAAGAAUUGGUAUUCAGGAUGUAAGCUUGAGAAGCUGGGGGGAGUGUUAAAUAACCCAUUCAAGGUUAAAGGGUCCCCGUGGUGAAUUGAGGACUCAAAACUCAGUCUGUUCUCUGCCCCUACACACCAGUAGCCUCGAUUUCCAACUCGUUUGGUUAUUCCUUGUUAUAGACUGAAUGCUGUGUCUCUCUCCCAAAAUUCACAUGUUAAAACCCUACUCCCCGAUGUGAGAAUAUCAGGAGGUGAGGCCUUUGGGGGUGAUUAGGGUGAAGCCCUCAUGGUGGGAUUAGAGUCUUUGUUAGAAGAGACACAACAGAGAUGAUUGUUUCUCUUCAGCCAUGUGAGGACAGGACAAGACGUCCAUCUACGAACCAGAAAGAGGGAUCUCACCAGACACCAAAUCUGCUGCUGCCUUGAUCUUGGACUUCCUAGCCUCCAGAACUAUAAGAAAUAAAUGUUUGUGGCUGGGUGAGGUGGCUCACACCUGUAAUACCAGCACUUUGAGAGGCUGAGGCGGGUGGAUUACUUGAGGUCAGGAGUUCGAGACCAGCCUGGCCAACACAGUGAAACCCCAUCUCUAAUAAAAAUACAAAAAUUAGCCAGGCAUAGUGGCACAUGCCUGUAACUCCAGCUACUCGGGAGGCUGAGGCAGGAGAAUCACUUGAAUCCAGGAGGCCGGGGUUGCACUGAGCAGAGAUCUCGCUACUCCACUCCAGCCUGGGCGACAGAGUGAGACUCCGUCUCAAAAAAAAAAAGAAAAGAAAAAAAGAAAAAAAAAAGAAAUGUUUGUUGUUUGAGCCAGUCCAUGAUAUUCUGCCAUAGCAGGCCAAACUGACUCAUAUACUCCCUUUGUUUCAUCUUCAUGUAUUUCUGGCAUCCUGGUUUGUAACAAAUAAUGGAAUCUUAGAAUUUUAGAAAUUGAAAUGUUCUCAGAGACCAUGUGGUCCAGAUCUCUCAUUUUACAGGUGAGGCAAGUGGUCCAGUGACUCAUCUGUGCUCACUGCAUGAGAGCCAUGCAAGCUCUAGAGAGCACACACAGAGUGAGAGAGACAAGCCGAGAUCCUGUCCCCGUAGGCACUAGUGUAUCCAUGGUUUGGUACAACAUUGGGUGUCAUCCUGGUUGUCCCAAGCCUCAGCAGCCGGUGGAUGUCAAUAAGGUCACAUUAUUAAUAAAAAUAAGAAUGAAUAGGCCGGGCGCGGUGGAUCACGCCUAUAAUCCCAGCACAUUGGGAGGCCGAGGCGGGUGGAUCACCUGAAGUCAGGAGUUCAAGACCAGCCUGGCCAACAUGGUGAAACCCCGUCUCUACUACAAAUACAAAAAUUAGCCAGGCAUGGUGGCAGGCACCUAUAAUCCCAGCUACUCGAGAGGCUGAGGCAGGAGAAUCGCUUGAACCCAGGAGGCAGAGGUUGCAGUGAGCUGAGAUUGCACCAUUGCACUCCAGCCUGGGGGACAAGAGCUGGAUUUCAUCUCAAAAAAAAAAAAAAAAAAAAAAAGAAUGAAUAAACAAGUAACUAACUUGAUGUAGGAGCCAUACAUAUGCAUCUGUCUACUACAGAGCCUCCCGCCCCUCUCCAAGUCCUCACCUUGGUUUUCUGGAGUCCCGUGGUCUGUCUCACAACCACCCUUAUAUGUACUCAACACCCCAGACGUCAUUUGAGUGUUUUCCUCAAUCAUGACCAUAGCUGCUCAGACCUUCUCUGUCAGCAUCUGCUUCCCCUGAAAAGAUUUCUUUCUCAUGCCUUUCUGUCUGUGUCCACAGUGUCUCAAUUGAAGGUCCUUGGUCUUCAAGGAACCAAGACUACACUGAGAUCCAUUCUUGGGAAGUGCCUCUCCUUCAACCUCCGGUACCACUCAUCCAUAAACACCAACACUAUUUGCCUCUUUGUGUAUCAUAAAGUCCCUCAUUGAAACAGCCCCUUAAACUCCAGUCUGGAAAACAAACCCACUGGGCUACAAUAAGAACCAAUUUUAGACACAGACAUCCUCCCACUUCCUCUUGACCCCAGGUAUUCUCUGCCAAACUACAAUUCCUCCAGGAAAUCAGCAUCUAGCAGCACCCCCACCAACCCAUGGAGGUUUGUUUUGUUUUGUUUUUUGAGACAGGUCUCACUCUGUCACCCAGGCUAGAGUGCAGUGGUACAACCACAGCUCACUGCAGCCUGACCUCCCCGGGCUCACGUGAUCAUCCAUGAGGCAGUUUGAAGAGAUCUGAAGCCCAAGAUAGACUCAGGCUGGAAUUCCCACUAUAUACAGGUCACUAGAUUUAAUUUAAAUGUGUCUUAAAUUUCACAAAUGAUGCAACAGAAUGAAAGAUGUAAUUCAACAAAACUUGUCCAAGAAGGUCCUUGGUAUUUUCUCUCUUCUGGAAAUCAUCGAUGAAAAAGCAUGUUAUAUGAGCUAGCAGAACUCAGUCAGUUAAGGGAAAAAAGGUCAUUUAAUUGCACAAUAAGAAGCAUAAUGUGGGCAGAAAAGAACUCCCUGUUUAUUGCAUAUGUCAAAUUAUUUAGGUAUCUAUGAGAGAAAGGU
rnacentral:lncRNA from 1 species